CCAGACUCCUACGGGAGGCAGCAGUGGGGAAUAUUGCACAAUGGGGGAAACCCUGAUGCAGCGACGCCGCGUGGGUGAAGGAGUGCUUCGGCAUGUAAAGCCCUAUCGGCAGGGAAGAAGCAAGACGGUACCUGACUAAGAAGCCCCGGCUAACUACGUGCCAGCAGCCGCGGUAAUACGUAGGGGGCGAGCGUUAUCCGGAUUCACUGGGUGUAAAGGGAGCGUAGACGGCCAUGCAAGCCUGGAGUGAAAGCCCGGGGCCCAACCCCGGGACUGCUCUGGGAACUGUGCGGCUGGAGUGCGGGAGGGGCAGGCGGAAUUCCUGGUGUAGCGGUGAAAUGCGUAGAUAUUAGGAGGAACACCAGUGGCGAAGGCGGCUUACUGGACUGUAACUGACGUUGAGGCUCGAAAGCGUGGGGAGCAAACAGGAUUAGAUACCCGUGUAA
rnacentral:rRNA from 1 species